rnacentral:lncRNA from 1 species
CUCUGCUCCCUGGACACAGUAGUUCUCAAACUGGACAGUGUCAAUCAGCAUCCUCCGGGAGGUCUGGGGUGGCCCCGGAAAUACAUGUGUCCCACCUAUCCCAGCAACCCCACCGUGAGAAUUCAGCGAAGAGUAAAAGCUGGAAAAAGUUGCGUGUCUUAGGCUAAGCAGAACAAAGUGGGGUGACGGCUCCCCGGCUAGGAACAGAGAUGCCCUUAGGGAGCCCUCUGAUGGAAGAGCUCUCCGCUUAAGAAGGUCACCACUCCCUUACACUCAGCCCCCCUCAAUCUGAUUCCCUGCUAUGCCUGCCAUCACCACUGGCCAGUUUUACCACAUGCUUCUCAAGACCCAAGGCACAAUAGGCAUAAAGUUGUCCUGAAAAGGACAAGAGGAGUGUCAGAAGUAGGAAUGGCAGUUGAAGGAGCUUCGUCUGCCAGCAGAAAGCUGAAAUGACAGGAAGACAGAAUGUCUUGUCAAGGGUCACCCCAGGAGGAGGAGUAAAUUCCCCAAAAAGCGGAACAUAUUUUUAUGAUUUAAUUAAUACAAUUUCUCUCAAUGGAGAUGUUGCUGAGAUGGGUGCAUUAAAGUUUAGGCUUUCCAGAGUUUAUAUUGCUAACAACUUGAAAGGAAAAAAGCUAACUAGAGAACUGACUGGUCUUAUUUGUUUUAGAUUCUGGGCUUUACUAAGACUUCCUACUCUCAGAAUCUCUGGACUAUAAACGCUGGGUGGGGUGGGAGCUGGGAAUGUUAUUCUGGAAAAUUAAUCACAAAUGAAAAGAAAAUCAACUCUAAGACUCCAGUUAGAAGAUUUUUGAAAAUGGCAGAACAUGACUGGCCUUCAUUCAAGUCAGAAUAUUUAAAGCAAUCCUUGCUAAGAAGAACUUGAUUUUGUAUAAGCAGUCCCUUAAAUACAGUUGCUUCUCAAGAAAACCACACACA